rnacentral:rRNA from 1 species
AGGAUUAACGCUGGCGGCGUGCCUGACACAUGCAAGUCGAACGAGGCCGCAAGGCCGAGUGGCGGACGGGUGAGUAACACGUGACCAACCAACCUCGAAGUUGGGAAUAGCUCUGCGAAAGUAGGGGUAAAUACCGAAUGUGGCCCAGGGCGGGCAUCCGCCUUGGUCUAAAGAUUCAUCGCUUCGAGACGGGGUCGCGGCCUAUUAGCUUGUUGGUGAGGUAACGGCUCACCAAGGCGAUGAUGGGUAGCUGGUCUGAGAGGACGACCAGCCACACUGGGACUGAGACACGGCCCAGACUCCUACGGGAGGCAGCAGUGAGGAAUCUUCCGCAAUGGGCGAAAGCCUGACGGAGCAACGCCGCGUGUGGGAUGAAGACUCUAGGGUUGUAAACCACUGUCGGAGGGGACGAUCGUGACGGUACCCUCCAAGAAACGCCCCGGACUAACUACGUGCCAGCAGCCGC